CUGGGAUUGAACCCAUGUCCCCUGCAGUGGAAGCUUGGAGUCCUAACCACUGGACCGCCAGGGAAUUCCCGCUAGUGAAUCUUAUUAGUAUCAUUAUGGCCGUGAUUAUUGUUAGUGUAAUUCUCAGUGUCCAUGUCAAGCCAAGUUCAGGGUCUGACCCAGGAGAAGCCUGGCAGGGGGUGGAGGUUGGUGGGAGAGUUAAAGGACCAAGCUGUAGCAUUCUAUGCUCUAGUCAGGAAUUCUCUAAAUUCUCCUAGAUCUUGUUCAUCUCCCAGUUUUUCCCCACAGUCUGAGGUGGUCUGCUCAGAGAACUCCUACUCAUCCGUCAAAGCCCAGUUCCAACACUGCCUCCUCCAGAAGUUUUCCCUGAUACCCCUAGCCUGGUUUGAGGGGCCCUUUUCUUGGAUCCCCAGUGUUACCUCCAUUAUGGAAUUUGUCACCCCAGUCUGUAUCUGUCACUCCCACCAGACUGGGGGCUUUCCUGGGGCAGGGACCUGGCCUGAUUCCUAUCUGUGACUCCAGCUUCACCCAGGACAUUUGGAAGUGACUGAAUGAACAAAAGACCAACUCGCAGGCAGCAGGCAGCAUUCACCCUGGAUGGAGCAGAUUCAUGGCUGACUGUAGGGCCUCAAAGGGUGACAAGAACCUUCUCAUUCCAAAUCAAGAAGACACCCCCCCAAACCCAUCCUCAGUAUUUGCCUACCACCAGGCACCCACAGGGGGACUUGUGCUCUGUCAGAGGCAAGGGCUGGGUGGUGGAACCGCCCCCGACAGGGUGCUACAAACCCACCCGUGGAAGGACACGGCCUUCUUUUUCUUCGCGAUCCCUUUGACUGGGCUGGUCACUCCCCCAGGAGCCUCGGGAACCAGCUGGGAGCGACUCUCGACCCCCGCGGGGGGGUCCCCGGCCUCAUGGAUCUCUUUGGACUGCCAGAUCGUCUUCACCACCACGCUCGCCAUGGCCUGUGGAGGGCCCGGCUCCCAGGGGCUCCUUCCUCUGAGGCUUUCCACCUACACUGACCACUGACCCUCAAGGUCCCCUGUCCCCACAAGCCUGCCUCAUAAAGGACCCAACCACUGGGCCCCAGUAAGGGGGGGGCACAAGGGUGGGGAAACGUGACUUGGCACGUUCCCCCGGGGGCCUCAGUGAACUCUUGUUCAGGAUUCUAGUUCUACCCUGAUCUGUCCCUCCCCUUCAGAAACACAGUGAAAUUCAUUCUAGUCCAGAACUUACAGUGGACGGACCCACUGGUUCUUGGGAGGGGUCCAAAUUACCUUUCCCUGAAACUCACUGUGGGGUCACCCAGCCCCUCCAUUCAGACUUGAUUCAUCAUGUAAUACAUUGGAUUUGUCACUUUCCCAGGAUCUGGGGGACGACGGGGAUUGAAUACCAGCGCUGGAGGAUCUUACAUUCUAUGGGGGGUUGGAAGGGGACAGGUGGGCAAUAGAAACAAACCAAAAACACCAGAUGUCCGAACGUGAUAUAAAGGGAAUCAAAACUGGGUGAUGGCCAUGUGGACGUCUGUCAAAGCUUGUCGAUUUGUGCACCUGGGAUUUGAGCCUUUUACUGUGUGUGAAUUCUACCGAUUAAAGAAUCUAAACAAGCA